GGGUUGUUAGCUCAGUUGGUAGAGCGCUUCGUUUACACCGAAGAUGUCGGCGGUUCGAGCCCGUCACGACCCA
rnacentral:tRNA from 2 species